GUGGGCAUUGCGGGUUAUGGAACUGGAACCCGUUAUCGAGGAAACAGAGGCCGUCUCAACGGCGUCGUAUUCGGUCCAAUUCCGGUUCAACCGGCGGCCAGGGUUACAGGUUUCCGUUGAAACAGGCGGUGACCGCUGCCUCCCUUGCCCUCGCAGGAGACACAAUCGCACAGAUUAGAGACCGUUGGAGCAAAGCAAAGGCUGUUAAUAAGCACAGCAAUGACCCUCAGGAUGCAUUGAGCCAAAUUUCAGACCAUGAUUGGCUACGAGCUCUGCGAAUGACUUCUUAUGGAUUCCUUUUAUAUGGCCCUGGUUCUUAUGCUUGGUACCAAUGGCUUGACCGCCUUUUGCCGAAACCAUCGAUUCAGAACAUUGUGUUAAAGGUUUUACUAAACCAGAUUAUAUUAGGUCCAUGUGUCAUUGCUGUUGUUUUUGCGUGGAAUAAUUUAUGGCUAGGGAAGGUCAAAGAGCUUCCACAAAAAUACCAAAGAGAUGCUCUUCCAACAUUACUUUAUGGAUUUAGAUUCUGGAUCCCUGUCAGUGCAUUAAAUUUCUGGCUUUUUACUGCAUGGCGAAUAUCCUAUUUCCCUUCUGGGUAUGGGUGGUGCCUCUUCAAGCACGAGUAGCUUUCAUGUCAAUGGGCUCAAUAUUUUGGAAUUUCUACUUGUCAUCAACCAUGACCAAGUAAAAUGCAUGCUGUGUUAGCAAUUUUGCAUUCUUUCAAAUCUGUACAAGAUUGAUCAGAGUCUAACCGAUUUGGGUGACGACAGAAAGGGGUAAAUGUGCAAAUGGCUUCCAUGCUAACAUUUGUCAAAUGUGCAAAAGAUUUUACCCUCUUCUGAGAAACUGAUGAUAGCAAGAGAACCAUUGUAAUUGGAACUUUUUCUUUUGCCUUUUUCCCAUGAAAAUUGGAGUAUAGGUAUUACCUAUCCCAGAAAGGAGAAAAAGAUGGAAUAUGUGUCAUCACAUGUGUUAUUUUUUAAUGGAAAUCUCACAUUUCUCAAGAGUACUGUGUGCCAGUGUCACCCUCUUUACAAUGUUCUAAAGAUAAAUAGCAAUUUUGCUCUAUAGCACCUUUCAGAUGGGCUAAUAUAACUGUAUAAGUUUGUCUUUCUCA